ACUGAACGCUGGCGGCAGGCCUAACACAUGCAAGUCGAGCGAGCGGCGGACUGGUGAGUACUGUAUGGGGUCUGCCCGUUCGAGGGGGUUAACUCCUGGAAACGGUGGCUAAUACCGCAUACUGUCGGUUACUCCAUAUGGGUUUAGCUAGUAGGUAAGGUAAUGGCUUACCUAGGCGACCAUCCCUAGCUGGUCUGAGAGGAUGAUCGGCCACACUGUGACUGAGACACGGCCCAGACUCCUACGGAGGCAGCAGUGGGGAAUAUUGCACAAUGGGCGCAAGCCUUAUGCAGCCAUGCCGCGUGUAUGAAGAAGGCCCUAGGGUUGUAAAGUACUUUCAGUCGGGAGGCGUUACCGACAGAAGAAGCACCGGCUAACUCCGUGCCAGCAGCCGCGGUAAUAC
rnacentral:rRNA from 1 species